rnacentral:lncRNA from 1 species
GACAAAGGAGGAGUAUUUAAGAGCUUUUUCAGAUAAUUGUGAAUAUUCUUCUUUGAUACUGCAUCAAAAUGUGAGAAGUGGUUGCAUAGAGAUUUUCACUUGAAUAAGGGCUUUCUUGGCUCCAGGUCACUGAUAGUGGUUCUCUGCAAUGCAGGAUGUGGAGAUUUGGAAUGAGAUUUAACAGAUCCCUGAUCUAACUGAAAGCUGAGCUCUGGGCCAUAUGGAUCCUUUAAAAGAGACAGAUGCAUGAAGUUUGGAGCAGUGAAUGUAAGAGCAAUAUUUGUUUUUCAUUUAAUGAUUUUGAUUUUUUAUUGUAGAGACAGUAGAGCUUGAUAUAGUUUUGGCAAAAUGAAUUUAAUAAAAAUUAUAUAUUUGAUCUAUCAUUUCCUAUUUCUGUGAUUAAACUAGGGAGAUUUACUUCAGG